rnacentral:rRNA from 1 species
GAGUUUGAUCCUGGCUCAGGACGAACGCUGGCGGCGUGGAUUAGGCAUGCAAGUCGGACGGUAGGGCUUUAUCGUAAGAUAGAGUUUGAGAGUGGCGAACGGGUGAGUAACAUGUAGGAAUCUACCCUUAAGACGGGGACAACCCAGGGAAACUUGAGCUAAUACCGGAUGAGAGUGCGAGAGAUUGCAUUUAAAAGGAUGGCGAAAGUUGUCGCUUAGGGAUGAGCCUGCGGUCUAUUAGUUAGUUGGUGAGGUAAGAGCUCACCAAGGCGAUGAUAGAUAGGCGGCCUUAACGGGUGGUCGCCCACACUGGGAUUGAGAUACGGCCCAGACUCCUACGGGAGGCAGCAGUCGAGAAUAGUCUACAAUGGCCGGAAGGCUGAUAGUGCGACGCCGCGUGAACGAGGGAGCCCUUCGGGGUGUAAAGUUCUUUUCUAUACGAGCAGUGCUAUAUAUAUGGAUAGUAUAUAUAGAGGGAUAGUAGUAUAGGAAUAAGCAACGGCUAACUCCGUGCCAGCAGCCGCGGUAACACGGGGGUUGCGAGCGUUGUCCGGAAUUACUAGGCGUAAAGGGCAGGUAGGCGGAUCUACGAGUUUUUUGUUAAAGGCUACGGCUCAACUGUAGUAGAGCAGGAGAUACUGUAGGUCUGGAAUGCGGUAGGGGAAGACAGAAUUCCUGGUGUAGCGGUGGAAUGCGCAGAGAUCAGGAGGAAUACCGAAGGCGAAGGCAGUCUUCUAGGCCGUAAUUGACGCUUAACUGCGAAGGUGUGGGGAUCAAACAGGAUUAGAUACCCUGGUAGUCCACACAGUAAACGAUAAUCACUAGAUGUCGGGUUCUAGAUGGAUUCGGUGUCGGAGCUAACGCGAUAAGUGAUUCGCCUGGGGAGUACGAUCGCAAGGUUGAAACUCAAAGGAAUGACG